GGUGGUUUUUGUUCAGCUGCAGCAAGUAUUGAAGUGCCCUGGGGGUAGGGACGGUGUUUUUACACCUGUAGAGCGUGCUCUAAGAAUCUACGUGUAUGUGUGUGCGUUUGUGGGAGGGAGAGGAGGGAAGGAGAGGGUGGUCUGUGCAUCCUUUUUGACACAGCAGUAGUACUAUUUCAUCAUCUCUGGGCAGGUGUUAAAGCCAUGAGUCAGUGUACUGUCUUUAUUGGGUUGGCGAUAUUAGCAAACUUUGGUCACCGAUGCCUUCUAUGUGGCUCUUUUUGCCUGCAUUCACCGUCACCUUCCUUUCUUUUUCCUUAUUC
rnacentral:misc_RNA from 1 species